rnacentral:miRNA from 1 species
UCUCUUCUGACUUUAUCAUAAA